rnacentral:rRNA from 1 species
UACGUAGGGUGCAAGCGUUGUCCGGAAUUAUUGGGCGUAAAGCGCGUGUAGGCGGCCAGAAAAGUCCGCUGUGAAAACUCGAGGCUCAACUUCGAGCUGUCGGUGGAAACUGUCUGGCUAGAGUCCGGAAGAGGAGAAUGGAAUUCCUGGUGUAGCGGUGAAAUGCGCAGAUAUCAGGAAGAACACCCGUGGCGAAGGCGGUUCUCUGGGACGGUACUGACGCUGAGACGCGAAAGCGUGGGGAGCGAACAGG